AUGGUCAGCGUCACCGAGCUCUGCCCAUCGUCACUCGCCAUCGUGAACCGGCCCUUGACCGAAUCUCCAUACCAGCGGGCGGCCGUGACCCUGCUGGAGUGCGGGGGGGACCUCCAGCCCCCCGGGGGGUCCCUGCGCCUCCUCUGCCGAGGGUCCGGGUUCGAUUUUGGGAGUGUUGGGAUGGGCUGGGUUCGACAGAGACCCGGGCAGGGGCUGGAGUACGUUGCAGAUAUCAGUAAUGGUGGUGGAAGCACCGACUACGCGCCGUCGGUCAAGGGCCGGUUCAGGAUCUCCAGGGACAACGGGCAGAGCUCGGUGACGCUGACCAUGAACAACCUCAAGGACGAGGAUUCCGCCACCUAUUUCUGUGCCAAAUCUGCUUAUGGUGGUGGUGCUAAUGCUGCUGCUUAUACUUAUCGUGCCAGUGGUCACACCACCAUUUCUGAGACGUUCCUAUCCCCAGUCCCCAGACCCUUCCCCAAAUCGCAGCCCUUGACCCCAUUCCUGACCCUUUCCCCCAGAUCUCCCCCAUUUCCAGCAACGCCAACCACGGAGCCAAAAAGCCCCGACGGGUUCUGCCCCAAACGCAAGAAAGUUGGCGCCAAAAUUUGCCCCAAUCUCCGCAUUGUCCUCAAAUCUCCCCCAGCUCCUCGGGCCCUGAUUGGCUGA